UACGUGGGGUGCAAGCGUUGUUCGGAAUUACUGGGCGUAAAGCGUGUGUAGGCGGCUCGCUAAGUCUGGUGUGAAAUCCCCAAGCUUAACUUGGGAACUGCAUCGGAAACUGGCGAGCUCGAGUCCGGGAGAGGGUAGCGGAAUUCCUGGUGUAGAGGUGAAAUUCGUAGAUAUCAGGAGGAACACCGGUGGCGAAGGCGGCUACCUGGACCGGUACUGACGCUGAGACACGAAAGCGUGGGGAGCAAACAGG
rnacentral:rRNA from 2 species